rnacentral:lncRNA from 1 species
AGAUUCUGAAUCCAGGAACAUGUAAGAUUUACAAGUCUCCCUGCUGCUCCCUCACAGACAUAGAUGUAAUGAUCUUCUGAAGGUAAGUAUCAGAAGAUGGAGUUGGGUGCAUACUAAUAUUCAAAGUAUGAUAAUUCAAACUAGAGUAAGAGCCUAUUCUUUUCCUGCCAUCUUUGGGAGGUGAAUGAAAGAACUGAUUAACAUAAGUGUGAUUCUGAUGUUACUUUCCUUACAGUUAUUUGUAGCAUAUAAUGUCAUUUCUAAACUUGGACGAAGAUGUUACUAGUUAGCAUCAGCUUAUCAGAGAACAUCACUAUCAGCUCUGCUUUGUUACUCUUUUUCUGUGUAACAGCAGUAUCAAAUGCAUCACAUACUUUCUCAUGCCCUCCUUUGGACGUAUUGUUAUAGGGAGUAAUGUGCAUUCAGUCUUUGGUAAAAAUAAGUAGGUGAUUUCCGUUAUACUUGUCACAAUAGCAUCAGUUAUUUUACUACUAAUAUACCAUACAGAUUGGAACGAAUUAACAGGCAAAAAGAAAACAUGAAGUGCUCAUGAAAGCCUACAUUUACUCUUGGGAAGGUUUCCAAAAUGUGUGAAAUGCAAAAAACAAAGCAUCUAAUAGUAACUCCUCUUUGAAAAGUAUUUGAUGACAAUCCUCUGUUUCACUUGUCAAUUAGAUGACUAGCUGGAAAAUAGAAGCUAUCUUCCGAACAUCAUGGCGUAUUUUUCUAUAAUGAAGGUUUUGCCCAUUGAGGGCAAUGUCAAAACUUUGAGUGUCUAAGGAGAAAGCAGGGUGUAGGAGUUCUCUUGACAAUUUGGAGUAUAUUGCUGUAAAUGUUAUUUUUCAGCUGGAUAGUUUUCUGAUGUGUAACUAAUUUCACUGCUCCUUUGAUAUUUUCAGAUGACAAUCCACAUAUAUCCCUACGUCAACAAAGGGGUGAUUUGGAUCAGUGUGCACUAUUAACCUGCCAGCAGCCAUUAGAUCAUGUUAUAUUUCCCUAUUUAUUCUCUAAUCAUCCACGGCUAGAUGCCCUAUCCUUCAUUUUCAUGUCUCUUCAUCUCUAAAAGCUAGUUUUCUAUUUCUCCUCUCCCCUCUAGUCUGAAUGUACUCAGAGAAAUCUACUCUUUGUAGAUCCUAAUUUGACACAAAGAACUAUCUGUCCCCAGGUUUAACAAGUCAGCCUGUGAAAGUUUGUCUGCUGAUAUGUACAAUAAUAUAUUGAAAAUUUUUAAGACAAGCAAGAUUUUACAAUAUAUUUGUUGUACUUCAGCAGUGUAUUUCCAUUGAUUUCAUAGAUGCAUGCAGACUGGAAGGGACCUUAGGAAGUCUCUUCUCCAAACUCCUGCUCGAACAAAUAUCGUUGUUAAAUUCGUUACUUAGACCAGGCUACUUAGGACUUUAUCUUUUCAGGUCUUCAACAUACUCAAAGACAGAAAUUUCAGAAUUGCUCUGGGCAACAUUUUUUCAAUGCUUUCUUGUUUUCAUAGUGAUUUUAUUUUCUUUUUAUCUGCUUUCCUGCCUCUAUUCUAUACCUACUGUCUUUCCACCUCCUAACAUGCAGCCACUGUGAAUUCUUGCUCCAACAUCUUGUUAAACUUCAGAUGUUGGGGAGCUGCAUUUAUGUCCUCCUGACAUUGUCUUUCCCAGUCUGCCUCAGCCUCUCCUCACAGGACAUGUGCUCCAAACCUGACAAUCCUGGUGGCUUUGCUGAACCUGCUCUGUUUUAUCACUGUCUUUCUUAUGCUGGGGCUCCAAGAUAAUACAAAGUAAAUUACUCAGUGGUAUUUCAUUUCUCACAGCAAUCCAGGUAAAGUACAGUCCAUGAACCACCUCUCUGAAAGUGCUACUAUUCUGACCUUUUUUUCUUUAACCCACCUAUCCAGAGUAUAAUGUUCUGACUUGGAUACAAGAAUAUUGUAGAAUACCCUUUCAAAAUCCUUGCAAAAGUCAAAUGUCAGCUUCAGCUGCCCUCUUUUCAUCCCUAGAUUCUAUCAUCUUAUCAUAGAAGGCAAUUACACUGAUCAGGCAUUAUUUAUAUUUGUUAAAAUCAAAAUAUUCUCUUCUAUGAACCCUGUUCCUAAGCACAAAAGUCUGGGAUCACUUGUUGCUGAAGACUGAGAUAAAGAAGGCAUUGAGCACCUCAGCCUUAUCUUGUAUUUGCUGUCACUAAGUCACUCAUGCAAUUCAACAGCGGUUCAGUAUUUUCUUUAUUCCUUUACUACUGAGGGAGCAGUAGACACUCUUCUUGCCCCUCCCAGUUUCCCAGAUACCAUCCUUUAGUGUCUGGACAAUAUCCACCUCACUUUCACCUUCUUUAUGUUUUUUCUUUUCCUAUUCCUUUUCCUUUUCAUACUGGGAAACUGACACAAUUUCUUUCUUUAGCUUCUUGGUCUCCUGAUAUGUCCACUCAGUUUCCUGAGCAUCAAGAUAGUCUAUUCUUGGACUUUGGUGACGGAUGCACCCAAAACAGAUGGCUUUCCUGAGUUCCUUUGAGCUUCAGAGCUACUUUCCAUGGGAUCUCAUUUACAAGUUCUACAGAUUAAAAAAUAAAAAUAAAAAAAUCACAAAAACACACCUGUGGUCACAAAAGUCAAGACACUUCCUACAGCACCAAUUAUGCUGCUAGUUGCUAAUUUGCAACGUUCAUCCAUUUCUGACAGACUUUCCUUUUGACCUGAAGGACAUCAGCUGUCUCAGCUUUUCCCUCCUCAGAUUUCUGUAGGCACUCUCGAUGCACUCCUUGGCAGUGUCAUUGGUACCCACACUGAUGAGUGACAUAGGAAGUAAGGGCUGGACAAGCCUUGACAGUCUCCAUAUCAUGACAGAUCCUGUCGUUCAGCAAGCAGCAAACCUCCAGUGACAACACACCCUGCAAACACCGUCACCAGUUGCUUCCUCCUCAAUAUGACUUUCAGUUCAGGUCCAGGUGGUUCCUAUAGCUUCUCUCAACUGAACUUUGUUUCCUUCACUGGCUGUUAGGGAACCUUACUGAACAAAAUUUGAGGCCAGAGAAGAAGCAUUUCUCUCGAUGUCAGAAUCCCCAAGCCUUCAGCCUUCCUCUUUGUGAGAGCAUCCAGUCACUGCUUGUUCAAACUUCAAGCUGCCCUGCAUCUAGCACAGCAUGUCUGCAAGGUUUCUGUGAAGACUCUGCCUCUUAUUCAUGAGAGAGUCAUUUGAAGCUUAUCACUUGGAAAUUUCAGAAAUAUCAAAUUGUUCUGAACUACACUGUGUUGCCUCGGGAAA